AAGAGAGAAUGCCGGAAUGAGUAGCGAGAGGAAGGUGAGAAUCCUUCCGGCCGAAUAUCUAAGGUUUCCAGAGUAAAGCUGAUCUGCUCUGGGUAAGUCGGGGCCUAAGGCCAGGUCGAAAGACGUAACCGAUGGACAACAGGUUGAAAUUCCUGUACCUUAAGUAAACAGAACUGUGGGGACACGUGUGGAGAGCACAAGCCGGAAAUGGAAAAGCCGGUGCAAGCGAGGUAGGAGAUGAACAGGCAAAUCCGUUCAUCAAUCCGAAGACGUGAUGCGGACCGAAUUAAGAGUAGGGAAGUGUGUGAGCCAUGCGUCAAGAAAAGCCGCUAUUGUUUUACUUAAGCCCGUACCGUAAACCGACACAGGUGGAUGAGGAGAGAAUCCUAAGGCCGACGGGAGAAGCAUUGUUAAGGAACUCGGCAAAAUGACUCCGUAACUUCGGGAGAAGGAGUGCCAGCGAGAGCUGGCCGCAGAGAAUUGGCCCAAGCAACUGUUUAGCAAAAACACAGGUCUAUGCAAAACCGUAAGGUGAAGUAUAUGGGCUGACGCCUGCCCGGUGCUGGAAGGUUAAGAGGAGAGGUUAGCGGCAACGCGAAGCUUUGAAUUUAAGCCCCAGUAAACGGCGGCCGUAACUAUAACGGUCCUAAGGUAGCGAAAUUCCUUGUCGGGUAAGUUCCGACCCGCACGAAAGGCGUAAUGAUUUGGGCACUGUCUCAACAAUGCACCCGGUGAAAUUGAAAUACCAGUGAAGAUGCUGGUUACCUGCGCCAGGACGGAAAGACCCCAUGGAGCUUUACUCCAGCUUGAUACUGGGAUUCGGUAUUGCAUGUACAGGAUAGGUGGGAGGCUAGGAAGUGAUAACGCCAGUUGUCACGGAGCCGCUGUUGGGAUACCACCCUUGCAGUAUUGGAUUUCUAACCAGCGACCAUGAACUGGUCGGGGGACAAUGUCAGGUGGGGAGUUUGACUGGGGCGGUCGCCUCCGAAAGGGUAUCGGAGGCGCUCAAAGGUUCCCUCAGAAUGGACGGAAACCAUUCGAAGAGUGCAAAGGCAGAAGGGAGCUUGACUGCGACACCGACGGGUGGAGCAGGUACGAAAGUAGGACUUAGUGAUCCGGUGGUAUAAAGUGGGAUUGCCAUCGCUCAACGGAUAAAAGCUACCCUGGGAUAACAGGCUUAUCACUCCCAAGAGUUCACAUCGACGGAGUGGUUUGGCACCUCGAUGUCGGCUCAUCGCAUCCUGGGGCUGAAGUAGGUCCCAAGGGUUGGGCUGUUCGCCCAUUAAAGCGGUACGCGAGCUGGGUUCAGAACGUCGUGAGACAGUUCGGUCCCUAUCCGGCGUGGGCGUAGGAUAUUUGAGAGGAGCUGUCCUUAGUACGAGAGGACCGGGAUGGACUGGCCGCUGGUGUAUCUGUUGCAUACCAAAUGCAUGGCAGAGUAGCCAAGCCGGGACGGGAUAAACGCUGAAGGCAUCUAAGCGUGAAGCCCCCCUCAAGAUGAGAUAUCCCUACGUAAGUAGUAAGACCCCUUGAAGACGACGAGGUAGAUAGGUCAGAGGUGGAAGUACAGUAAUGUAUGGAGCUGACUGAUACUAAUCGGUCGAGGGCAUGA
rnacentral:rRNA from 1 species